CGUGCUCGGGAAUUCAGAAAGAAAAUGCUGAAAAUUAUCAACAGGUCAGGGUGCAUCUGUGAUUGAAAACGCUUCUCCAGAACUGCGGAAGGGAGAAAACAAGUUGCAGAGGAGCUGGGGAAGAGAUGUGCAGGACAAGAGGAAUACUGUAUCGGAUAGUCCGCUGGAAAAACUCAGCAGAUCUUGAAUGAAUCAAGGCAUAAUCAGCCUCUGGGGAUUACUGAAGAACAAGGAGGAACACAGUAAGAGAAAAAGAUAUCAAAGGCAAAUUCAGACCAGUGACCAACAGCGCACAGGAUGACUCCACAGAAUUUACU